UACGUAGGGGGCAAGCGUUGUCCGGAAUCAUUGGGCGUAAAGCGCGUGUAGGCGGCCCGGUAAGUCCGCUGUGAAAGUCGGGGGCUCAACCCUCGAAUGCCGGUGGAUACUGUCGGGCUAGAGUGCGGAAGAGGCGAGUGGAAUUCCUGGUGUAGCGGUGAAAUGCGCAGAUAUCAGGAGGAACAUCGGUGGCGAAGGCGGCUCACUGGACCAGUACUGACACUGAGGAGCGAAAGCAUGGGGAUCAAACAGG
rnacentral:rRNA from 1 species